rnacentral:rRNA from 1 species
CGGGGGCGGGAGCUUACCAUGCAAGUCGAGCGGUAACAGAGAGUAGCUUGCUACUUUGCUGACGAGCGGCGGACGGGUGAGUAAUGCUUGGGAAUAUGCCUUAUGGUGGGGGACAACAGUUGGAAACGACUGCUAAUACCGCAUAACGUCUACGGACCAAAGGGGGGGAUCUUCGGACCUCUCGCCAUUUGAUUAGCCCAAGUGAGAUUAGCUAGUUGGUAAGGUAAAGGCUUACCAAGGCGACGAUCUCUAGCUGGUUUGAGAGGAUGAUCAGCCACACUGGGACUGAGACACGGCCCAGACUCCUACGGGAGGCAGCAGUGGGGAAUAUUGCACAAUGGGCGAAAGCCUGAUGCAGCCAUGCCGCGUGUGUGAAGAAGGCCUUCGGGUUGUAAAGCACUUUCAGUUGUGAGGAAAGGGGUGUAGUUAAUAGCUGCAUCCUGUGACGUUAGCAACAGAAGAAGCACCGGCUAACUUCGUGCCAGCAGCCGCGGUAAC